UUUUGAUUGCUUGAAGCAAUGUGAAAAACACAUUUCACCGGCUCUGA
rnacentral:snoRNA from 1 species